rfam:Otolemur garnettii contig123482, whole genome shotgun sequence.
UUUUUAGUAUAAGUAUGUCCCAUGCAAUAUUUGGAACAUACUUGUAUUAAAA